CUGUGUACAUAUUCAUAAUUACAAAACAUAAUUGUUAACUUUUAACAAUUAUGUUUUAAGUAUGUAUUAUGUAGAUUUUUUUGCUUAUACUUAUUUUUUACUUAAUAAAAAUGUAACCUGCUGAGAUUUACGUAUGUUUUGCAAUUAUGAGUCUGUCUGGCUAUCUGUGUGUUCCUUAUUCAUUCUCACAUUCUUUGAUAUAUCAUGACCAAACUUUACAAAAUAUUUUCAAUGAUCCUGACAAAAGGUAUGUGGGAACUCUAACAACCAUCUACACCAGUGGUUCUCAACUUUCCUAAUGCCGCGACCCUUUAAUACAGUUCCUCAUGUUGUGGUGACCCUCAACCAUAAAAUUAAUUUUUUGCUACUUCAUAACUGUAAUUUUGCUACUGUUAUGAAUCAUAAUGUAAAUAUCUGAUAUGCAGG
rnacentral:lncRNA from 1 species